rnacentral:tRNA from 1 species
GCUACGAUAGUUUAUUUUCAAAACACUAGCCCGUGACG